UGGGGAAUUUUGCACAAUGGAGGAAACUCUGAUGCAGCGACGCCGCGUGAGUGAUGAAGAUCUUCGGAUUGUAAAACUCUGUCCUUAGUGAAGAUAAUGACAGUAACUAAGAAGCAAGCCCUGGCUAAGUACGUGCCAGCAGCCGCGGUAAUACGUAUGGGGCAAGCGUUGUCCGGAAUUAUUGGGCGUAAAGGGUACGUAGGCGGUUUAAUAAGUCCUAAUUAAAAGGCUAUGGCUCAACCAUAGUAUGGUUAGGAAACUGUUGAACUUGAGUAGAUGAGGGGAAAGUGGAAUUCCAUGUGUAGCGGUGAAAUGCGUAGAUAUAUGGAGGAACACCAAUGGCGAAGGCAACUUUCUGGAAUCAAACUGACGCUGAGGUACGAAGGCGUGGGGAGCAAACAGG
rnacentral:rRNA from 1 species